UAUCUCUCUGUACGGGGAAGGAUGAGAAGCUUCGACUAAGGUUCGAUUCGAGCGAAAGCGAGAAAGCGUUGCCAACGGCAACGACCCGAAGGGCGAAGCGCGC
rnacentral:sRNA from 1 species